rnacentral:tRNA from 1 species
UGCCCAGUGCCUUUAGUGGUUUGAGGAUUGGACUACAAUUCUAGAGAUCAGAGUUCAAAUCCCUGCUUGGCCA